UUCNGUGGAGCAGUUGGCAGCUCGUCGGGCUCAUAACCCGAAGGUCGUAGGUUCAAGUCCUGCCUCCGCAACCA
rnacentral:tRNA from 1 species